GUCAGACCGGAGCUAAUAUCUGCGUGGCUUUUCAACGAUGGUGACAACUGAGGUACCCCAAGAGGCUGAAAAGUUACACCGUGGUCGCUUCAUUUCCGCUUGACAGGUCACCUGCAGAUUUGGAGUCGUUCAUAACCCUGUACUUCUCACCAGUAUACACUGAUCGGACCACGCUGGCUGGCCUGGAUUACAGCCACCGUGUCCACAGACCAGCCAGGAGAAAAGCUGAUGACACAGUUCAGUACGGCAAGGUGUACAACAAAAAUUCCAGGAAGUAGAGCUUGUACUCACUGAAGGUGGAGAAGGAUUACAGUUACAUCGCAGACCUCCAGAGUUCUAUCCCCCUCCUCCAACGGUUGUCUACUACUGAGGAGAGGCC